rnacentral:tRNA from 1 species
CUUUAUUGCUAAUGAUAAUCACUUUCGUAAUGAUGGGGUCAGAGGUUCGAAUCCUCUAAGCGGCACCA